rnacentral:rRNA from 1 species
UACGUAGGGGGCAAGCGUUGUCCGGAAUUAUUGGGCGUAAAGCGCGCGCAGGCGGUCCUUUAAGUCUGAUGUGAAAGCCCACGGCUCAACCGUGGAGGGUCAUUGGAAACUGGGGGACUUGAGUGCAGAAGAGAAGAGUGGAAUUCCACGUGUAGCGGUGAAAUGCGUAGAGAUGUGGAGGAACACCAGUGGCGAAGGCGGGUUGCUGGGCUGACACUGACGCUGAGGCGCGAAAGCCAGGGGAGCGAACGGG